UUCCCCUUCGGGGGGACAAAGUGACAGGUGGUGCAUGGUUGUCGUCAGCUCGUGUCGUGAGAUGUUGGGUUAAGUCCCGCAACGAGCGCAACCCUUAAGCUUAGUUGCCAUCAUUAAGUUGGGCACUCUAAGUUGACUGCCGGUGACAAACCGGAGGAAGGUGGGGAUGACGUCAAAUCAUCAUGCCCCUUAUGAUUUGGGCUACACACGUGCUACAAUGGACAAUACAAAGGGCAGCGAAACCGUGAGGUCAAGCAAAUCCCAUAAAGUUGUUCUCAGUUCGGAUUGUAGUCUGCAACUCGACUACAUGAAGCUGGAAUCGCUAGUAAUCGUAGAUCAGCAUGCUACGGUGAAUACGUUCCCGGGUCUUGUACACACCGCCCGUCACACCACGAGAGUUUGUAACACCCGAAGCCGGUGGAGUAACCUUUUAGGAGCUAGCCGUCGAAGGUGGGACAAAUGAUUGGGGUGAAGUCGUAACAAGGUAGCCGUAUCGGAAGGUGCGGCUGGAUCACCUCCUUU
rnacentral:rRNA from 1 species